rnacentral:rRNA from 1 species
AGAACGAACGCUGGCGGCAGGCUUAACACAUGCAAGUCGAACGGUUGUAGCAAUACAGCAGUGGCAGACGGGUGAGUAACACGUGGGAACCUUCCUAGGGGUACGGAACAACUCAGGGAAACUUGAGCUAAUACCGUAUACGUCCGUAAGGAGAAAGAUUCAUCGCCCCUAGACGGGCCCGCGUAGGAUUAGGUAGUUGGUGAGGUAACGGCUCACCAAGCCUACGAUCCUUAGCUGAUCUGAGAGGAUGAUCAGCCACACUGGGACUGAGACACGGCCCAGACUCCUACGGGAGGCAGCAGUGGGGAAUCUUGGACAAUGGGCGCAAGCCUGAUCCAGCCAUGCCGCGUGAGUGAAGAAGGCCUUCGGGUGUAAAGCUCUUUUACCAGGGACGAUAAUGACGGUACCUGGAGAAUAAGCCCCGGCAAACUUCGUGCCAGCAGCCGC